rnacentral:tRNA from 1 species
CCAGGAGGGGACGCUGGCCCGGCGCUGCUUGCGGCUGCUGGCCGCAGGCCGGCGCCCGGCCGGGACCGGGGUCGGCUCGGGCUCGGCCUUCUCGAC